rnacentral:lncRNA from 1 species
UUUUUUUUCUUAGUCACUAUAGUGUCAUCUGCUACUUGUGGGAUUAUUUGUGUCAUGUCGUCCGCCAUUCGCAUGCCGAACCCAACUCUUUCGAUUGAUAUAUCUUAUCACCACAACCCUCAAAUGAUAAUCAAUAGGGUAUAUCGGAUGUCAUGCAUCAUGAUUUACAUGCUUCCACAAAUCUAUCGAAGAAAGAAGCUAAACUCUCAUCUCUUCCUAUUUUCAGAGCCACUAUAAUUCAUGAAAUAAAGAUCUAUCAAGAGAUAAAGAAGAAAUUUCUAUAAUCAUGAUCCAAAGAACAUUCUACCUAUAUAUAUAUAGGCAAGAACAAAAGAUCUAGAAAAGAUAAUUAUGAGUGUCCCUUCCAUCAUGUCAUAAGAAAUCCUAUCAUAAUUUUCUUUUUGUUGAUCGAUGAUCAUAAUUAGAAUCCAAUAAAAUUUAUAAUAUAUUUUACUUAAUUAAAUAUGAUCACAUAAUCCAAUAUUCUUAUUCUAAAUCUAACUUUAUUUGAACAUUUAAAUUGAUAACCCAUUAUAUGCAUGAUGUUCACUUUAAUACAUCAAGUGAAGUGGUUCCUCCACAUAAUGCUAGAGGAUGCUAUGAAUUCCAAAAAAAUAUUGAAGUAUAAGGAUGACCCCAAGGAGUUCUUUGAAUCUAUAAAAACAUUGGGAAUCAAAAAGUGAAGUUAGUGGCAAAGCAUGCUACUAUUUGUGGAGGAAAUCUAAAGUGAGAAUAUUUACUUAUUUGUAUGCUGAUUUGUGAUUGAACAUCAUGCACUCAAGCAUAUUUUACAACAAAGGAUAUUGCUACUUAUGAUGAUUUGAAAACUUUUCAUGAAUCAAGGAAAAAUGAGUUCCAACUCCUAUGCACCACCCACUAUUCUUUUCCUAUGUAAGAAUAGAAAUUCUUUAAAGAAAUAGAAACAACCUCAUUUCAUUGUCACAUCACACUAACCGAUCUCUAUUCAUCUAUCAUAAAGAUUGGAUUGUUUAAGGGAAAAUCUCAUCAACACUCCAAGAUCAAAUUUUGGUGUAUAUUCAUAUAUGUGCAGUGGAUCAUGAAGACAUCGUGAAGAGCUAUUUAUGGGGAAGUGGAAGUUCCAAUAAGAUUAGAUUAAUUCAUUAGUCCUCCCUCCACUUUCCUCAUGCUUGGAUGCGAUGCUUCCUCAAGAAUAUGGAAGAGUUCUAAAAGAUGGCUACACUGCUAAGGCUUAAAGUGUCCUUCGAGCCAAGUGAAAAGCCAUCUUGCAAGGAUUUAAACUUGUUAUCUAUGGUGGUCUCAAAGGUUUCUAGAUUCGAUCUAGAAGAAUUUAAAAUUCGAUCUUGGAAGGAAUACAUUGUGUUCUAUCUAUUAGAGCUCUAAAAGAUUUUGUUCUCCUUGGAACAUCAAGAGCAUUCUGAGUGAUUGUCUUUUGUUUAGCAACUCAGUAAGGAUGGGCAAACAAGGGAGGACAAUGGACAAGCUCCAGCUUAACUAUAUCAAUUCUCACAUUUCUUGGGAUAAGUUGGUGAUGUUUGUGCAGCACAAGAUGGAGCUACUUGGCAUACUGUAUAUAAAACUAUGGAAGUGUGACAAGAUACAAUCCUUCCAACUUUUAGUAAUAAUUAUUUACUAUGAGCAGGAUAGAAUAUUUAUCAAAUUAAUGGCUGAUCAGAAAUACUGAAUUGUUGAUUAAAGAUGUGAUUUUAUGUCCUAAAGUUUAAUUGUGAUUUUUUUCUUUGGAUAAAAUGUUUCUACAUCAUUUAUCACCAUUGCUAUACUUAAGUAGUUAGUACACUGAAAAUUUAUGAGAUUUUAGAUCAUCAAUUAUUAUAAAUUGAUUUUAUUUUAUAACUAAUGUAGAACAGGAAGAGAAAGAAGGUGAGAAAUGAAAAACAAGGAGGAGAAAUGAUGAAAAUUAUGAUCUAAUGAAAUAUAUAAAUUUUUAAUAAACAUAUUGAUACAAAAUUAUUGAACCAUCAAUUCCCUUUUUCCAUGGAAUCAAUUCUUUUCCCUAUGAAUUAUGCAUACUUUUUCUGCAUGGCCUAUUGUUUCUUGAGCAGAAUUCUACCUACAAAAACAUGCAGCUGUUGUUAGUUGAGUCCAUCCCAAUUGCUCAUCUUUCCCUAAGAUAUAAUUAUUCAUGACUCUUAUGAUAGCACAAUUUAUUCUCUCUCUCUCUCUCUCUCCAAUUAACAUUUCUGAGAUAGUUUCAAUGUCUCUCCACUUAAGAUUGAUUAAGAGAGACAAUCCAAAACUUUUGGCAUAAAUUUGUGGUAUUCACAAUGACCAACCAAAUUUGCUGUCAUUUUUUUUUUUGGCUUCAUAUUUCUUCAUCAGAAAGAUACAUAGAAGCUUAAGCUCCAUGCACUUGAAUCAUCAACAUGAUCAUCAUGAUUCUGUAUGCAGAAACAAACACAACCAUAUAAUCAAGUUUUAUGUCAACAAUAUGUUCCAGAAAACAAGCAUAUGGUACAUUAGCACCGCAUCUCAAUCCUUUCGGGCAAUCAACUCAUCUCACUAAAAAGAAAGCAACAGGUGAGAGAAAGAGAAGAGCAAAUCAUCAAGCACUAAGUUUCAGCAUUUCUUGGUCAAGCCACCCAUCUGCAAACCCAAACGCAAACAAAAUGACGUGAAUAAGAUCCAUACUGUAUUAGGAGUAGACUGGAGCGCCAUCAUCUCCGGGGAG